rnacentral:lncRNA from 1 species
UUACUCUCUAAUGCCCCUGACACGAGAUAGAUACUCAAUAAAUGGUCCUAUGAGUGAAUGAAUGUGUGAAUGAAUGAAUGAGCUGGUGGCAGGGUGAGAAAAGGAAACAGAUGUGUCUAUUAAGGGAAAACCUGCCUUGUGAUUGGUGCCUCUCAAGGCCUCAUUCAGGAUGUCUUCUCCGGAAGUUGGCUUUAGGGUGCUGCCUCUCCCGCUUUUGCCCCUUGGUGCUAAGUAAGAAGUUCCUCGAUGACGCUGUGCCGUCUGCCUGGCCUCUUCCAAGGAUUGCUUCAUUGGCUGCUGGCUCCUGGCUUUUCUGCUCUUGGCACCAAGUAGCUAUGAAGACUCUGAGACCUGGACCAUCCCAAGGCUGUAGCUUUCUUUCUUCAAGUCUGGCAGGCUCUGUCGCUGUGAAGAGUCUGAAGGCUUUUUCUUUUCCAGGUUGACUACUACCAUGAGCACUCCAAGACUCACAGAAGCAGGGGAUGGAAGAGAGGCUGAAUGAAGCAGGUGGAGAUGGAGGGUUGAGAAGAGGAUGUGGCUGGGCUGGAGGAGCAGGGAGAAGAUAAAGACCAUUAGAAAUAGGAUGAGAGAACAAUGCCUGGGCUAACCCUCUCGGAGCUCUGAAGGCCCAAGGCAAAGGCACAGUGUCUGUGGAAUUGUCCUCAUCUCUGGAGUCCCCCAGGAUUUACCUUAAUCUGACGUGUAUAAUGUGUGUAUCACACUGGAAUAGAAUGAAUUAAACUUGAAAGAGAGUUUAUUCCUCAAGGCAGGUGGGAACUCCGUCGAAUGGAAUUGAACAGCAUUAGAAAGUGAGAGUAUUGGCUAUAUUUCUUCUCCUUUGACUUCGAAUGGAAGGUUGAGAAGAACUCUAGCCUAUUCAACCCCAGGCAUUCUCUUAGCACUCUGCUUUACUGUACUGGGGGCCAUAAAGGAAUCAGGCAUAUCCUAGAUGCCUAAGCAAGCUGUGAGAAUAAGAGGGCUGUCUCACCCCCAUUUGCCUGGACACUGAGUCACUUCCCUCUGUCAUUCCUAAACCAUCCUGUGGCACCAUGUUGGAUCUGUGCCACAGAAGUUCGGGAGACUUGGAUUCUCCUCAAACUAUGUCUCAGAAAAGCAGGGCCCUAACCCAGAUUGUUUUAGACCCCUCCCCAAUUCCCUCUGUUUGUUACUGACACCCUAGUCCCUGAGAUAUGAUCCCAAGAAAGGGAGGCAGGAAAGGCCUUGCUUGUCUACCUGCUAUGUUUUUCCUCUCCCUCCUCUGCUUCUCCUCCUGGCUGGGCAGAGCUGU